GUGCUCACCCUGGCAACAUAUACAUUAAAACUGGAAUGAUACAAAGAAGAUUCAUGUGGUUCCUGUACAAGGAUGACAUGCAAAUUUAAAAAUGUUCCAUAUUUUU
rnacentral:snRNA from 1 species